AUCUUCGGCCAUAGAAUCGAGAAAACAUCGCAUCCCGUCUGCUCUGCGAAAUUUCAAGCCCGAUAUCGCUCGGUUAGUACCAUCGUGGGGGACCAGAUGGGAAUCCCGGGUGCUGAAGUUU
rfam:Kwoniella heveanensis BCC8398 unplaced genomic scaffold supercont1.19, whole genome shotgun sequence.